rfam:TPA: Bos taurus chromosome 26, whole genome shotgun sequence.
UCCCUGAUGGCUUAGCUGGUAAAGAAUCUACCUGCAACGUGGGAGACCCAGGUUCAAUCCCUGGGUUGGGAG